rnacentral:rRNA from 1 species
CCCUUAGAUGUCCUGGGCCGCACGCGCGUUACACUGAUGCAUUCAACGAGCUUAUAACCUUGGCCGAGAGGCCUGGGCAAUCUUGUUAACGUGCAUCGUGAUAGGGAUAGAUUAUUGAAAUUAUUAAUCUUCAACGAGGAAUGCCUAGUAGGCGCAAGUCAUCAGCUUGCGUCGAUUACGUCCCUGCCCUUUGUACACACCGCCCGUCGCUCCUACCGAUUGGGUGUGCUGGUGAAAUGUUCGGAUCGGCCGUUUGUCGCGGUUUCCGCGGCUCGUGGCUGAGAAGUUCAUUAAACCCUCCCACCUAGAGGAAGGAGAAGUCGUAACA